AACGAACGAAAGGACGAACAAACAAACGAACGAACGAACAAACAAACAAACAAACAAAUUCGUUCGUUUGUUGGUUGGAUAGUUGCUUGCUUCCGUCUCCCCUCGCUGUUUUUUACGUUCUUUCUCUUGUGUUAUUCCUUCUUCCUUCUUU
rnacentral:ribozyme from 1 species